GGAGGCGCCGCCCUUCCCUCAGGGAGCCGCGGGGCUCGGGCAGGGGGGAGCCGUACAGCCCGCCGGUCAGAGAACAUCCCGCGUGCCGCCGGAGCUGUGUCUCGCUGUCCCGUUGUGCAGUGUGUGUCUCUGAGCCGGGGGGCUCCAGGUGCCUUUGGGCUGCUGUCCCGAGUGUGAGUCUAGCACCAGAAGAUCAGAAGGGCACUGCCUAAAAACUUCUAAAAUUUCUGGACUGGGUGGCUGUGUUGUUCAAAAGCCAUCUGCAUUGCAUCUGAACAAAGUGAUGCCAUCAAGCUGAUUGCAGGGACUUGAACACUUCAGCAAUUAAUUUCCAAAUGGAGGGUGCAACUGGCUCAGCAAUUCAGUUGCAAAUGGACAGCACAACUGGCUCACACUGGUGAAAUUCCACACGAAGUCCCGACAUUCCUACAGUUCUCCUGGGCUCUGCUGGGCUCCAGCUGCAGUCAGUGAUUGCUUCAAAGCCUGGGGCUGGGAGCAGAGUACAUAGGAACGUGGGUCCUUGUGAAAUACAGAGUUUUGAACCUUUUGAACUUGUGA